UCCUCCGUGGCGCAAUUGGCUAGCGCGUUCGACUGUUAAACAACAGAUUAAUCGAGAGGUUGGUGGUUCGAGCCCACCCGGGGGAG